rnacentral:rRNA from 1 species
UACGAAGGGGGCUAGCGUUGUUCGGAAUUACUGGGCGUAAAGCGCGCGCAGGCGGUUCUUCAAGUCAGAGGUGAAAGCCCAGAGCUCAACUCUGGAAUGGCCUUUGAGACUAGAGAACUAGGGUACGGGAGAGGUGAGUGGAAUUCCGAGUGUAGAGGUGAAAUUCGUAGAUAUUCGGAAGAACACCAGUGGCGAAGGCGACAUACUGGUCCGUUACUGACGCUGAGGCUCGAAAGCGUGGGGAGCAAACAGG